AAGGACUUGAUGAUACUCCACAACCUAAAUCCAAGGCUGCUGCUAGGUGGAUUGUUGUUAAGUGUAAUAGGCAAAAAGGAAUCACUGAAUGUGGCUACUACGUGAUGCACUGGAUGUCCUCGAUAAUCUUAGGAUCUUUCGGGAAUAAUUGGGAGACGUAUUUUAAUGAAGUUAGACCAUUGGAAGCAGAGAGAUUCAAGGC